GCGCCUGUAGCUCAGCUGGAUAGAGCACCGCCCUCCUAAGGCGGGGGUCAUGGGUUCAAAUCCCUUCAGGCGUGCCA
rnacentral:tRNA from 1 species